UUUUUUUGUUCUUUUUUUUUUUUUUUGGAAACAAAGGGCAGCAGGGGUGAACCUGGUGGAAAUGGAAGAACAGGACUCAGAGGAUCCAAAGUAAAUUUGCUAUUUGUUUCAUAUAAAAAUCUGAAAAAUCCUGAGACCAACAGUGAAAAUGCAUCUACUGUACCUGCAAAUACAUCUAAAUUCCAUGUAUCAUUUAAAAACUAUAUUACCAUAAUAACAGUUUAAGGAAAAAGUCAAUAAUGGAAAAAUUUGCAUGAAUCACAUUAAUUUGAGAAUUAUUUAUUUAUUAAAUGGCCCGUUUUAAAUUAGGUUUUAAAUCCUUAGAUUUUUUUAUUAUUAUUAUUGUCUCAUGUUUUAUGUUUUGUUUUAUGAAAAAGCUAUAUAUUUAACAUUGUGUGUUAUGUAUAAACAAAAUGUAAGUGGUCCUGUGUUGUUUGAUUAAAUUCAGUCACGUUUUUCUGUAUGCUCAGGGUCGAGCAGGCCAACAUGGUCACCCUGGUGUACCUGGAAUAGUGGGUUUCCGAGGUCCAGUUGGUGCAGAGGGACCAGAAGGAAAGCCUGGGUGUUUCUGGUUCUGUUGGAAGCCCAGGGGAUAAAGGACCUAAUGUAUGUUUCUCAUCAACCAAAAUCAAAAUAUUCUAUGAGAUAUAUUAGUCAGUUGAGAGCAGAUUGCUACUAUAAUAAAAGCUUGUUGUAAAGGCUGAUAGCUCUUUAAAAGAGCUAUUACCAACAUUAGACCUCAAGAAGGAGUAACACUUGAUACAGGCAUGUCGAGGUCAGAAAGAUCAUAGACUAUUAAACUUAACAAGGUCUUAAACAUCCUGUUGGGUUGGUCCUUCUGUCAUAGAGGAAUGAUCUCUGUUUCAGCAUGACAGCAAGACCCUGAAACAUGUUAAACUGGUAGACUGAAUCAUAUAUCUCUAUCUUGUGUCUGUUUUAUAUUUUUGUGUACCUUUACAAUUUCAGUUGUCAGCGUAAUUUUAGUAAGAUGUUUAAUUGAAUAAUCAGAAUGAAUUUCAGAAUGUCUUAGUAUUGCUUUAUUGACAGCAGCACAUGAGCUCCUUGAGCAAGUGUGUGUAAAACCUGAUGAUGUUGUAGUCCAGUAUCAUUUAAGAAUGAUCUAAAGAACAUCUUGUGCUUCAGUGAAAGAAAGAACAUUUUAAUCUAAAAGUCGUUAACAGGGUCAAUGUCAGAAAUUAGAUUAAUAGUCUAGAAAUAGUUAAGAAUCCUAAAUAUUUGUAUUCCUUUUACAUCAAACGGUAUUCAUUGUGGACUUUUUUAGUCUUUCACUCAUUUUUCAUGUCAUUUAUCAUAUAUCUUCUGUAAUAUUUGUCAUCUAAAGGGCCUGAAGGGGAUGAUUGGAGAUCAAGGAAAACAAGGCCCUCCAGGCUCACAGGUGAGCAUAACAAUAGGACAAACAAGGAUUGUGGAAAAAUGAACAUCUUACAAAGUAGUCAAAUUUUGAAAAGUAAACCAUCACAGAAAGUAUUUUCAUUCUUGUUCAUUAACAUCUGCUGAAAACACAACUGUUCAUCACCAGUUCAUGGUUUCUCGUCUCAUUAGGGCCCACCUGGACGACCAGGCCAAGAUGGUACUCAAGGUCCUCCUGGUGAGAAGGUAAGCCUCUCAAAGCAUUGUAUUGCUGUAAUAAUGUAAUUAAUGCAUAGUGUUCACAUGUAUCACCACUGUGUGCGUUU
ensembl:lncRNA